GACAUCUUCAAGGGUGAGCAGUGGAUCCUUGUGCACUGGGAGUAAUAAAACCUCACCACAAGGAAGACUGAUGAAGGAUUAUGAGGUCAAGGGGAAACAUCUCCACCUGGUUCCCCAGUCCCAACCCUUACACUGAUAAAGCUUCUCUCUGAUUAAUCAUCUGUGCUGGCAACCCGAGGAGACAGAGGCCAACAAACCCGAAAUGAACUAUUAUCCCGGUGAGGUGGCAGGCAACUGAUUAACUGAAGCAAGCCCGGGUGGCUGCCUGUCCGGUCCGGAGAAAAUGCAAAUCUUUUCUCCACCAGAGGGCCUGAGCCUGUAGUCCCGUCCUGGUCCUGGAGAUGGGCAGCUCUUCGCGGACAAAUCCGGUGGAGUGCGGCGGUGCGGCCGGGGCGGGGCAGGGGGAGGGGAGGGAUGUCAAGGGCUUGGAUGAGUUAUGUAACCAGGACCCAUACUGGCCCUUUCUCAAAUAUCAGGCCACAGAUUUAUUUCGAGGACUUUGGCGAAAAGAGCUCCUGGAAGCGCAUAUGCAGAGAUUAAUGGAGCACCGCACAGUUGGACAGGAACUGGGAAGUGCCGCUCAGCUUGGUGGCGUCGCUGGAUCAUUCGCAAGUAUUUGCAGGUGGCCCCAGCCUCAUCCUCAUCUGCCCAGUCCUUCUCGCUGCCACAGACAUCAGUGGCCUCAGACCUGCCCAGGAAACCACCUCUGGCACUACUUCAAGGGAAGACAAGGCAGGGUUUGAAGUCACGCCACCACUUCAAGCUCCACAUGAUAGUUAUGGACUAAAAAGGGAUGAGGCUGAGUAAAAAUAAGUCAUAAUUCUGUGCCCUAGCUUGGAGGGAGUGGGUGGUUGCUAAAGGAUUUUCUACACCUUUCCUUUUGUAGUUCAAAGAAUUGGUUAGGAUAAGAUAUUGACCUCGUCGUAUAACUGAAUAACUGCAGGCCAGAGUCUAGCCAAACCCCUUACAAACUGUGUGACCGUGGGCAGGUUACUUAACCUUGUCACAUCUCAGGUUUCUCAAAGUGGAGAUAAUAGUGGUAUUUAUCACAGAGGGUUAUUUAGAGGAAAAAUUGAGAUAAUGCAUUAAAAGUCCUUGGCACAGUUCUCCAAGCUUCGAGCACAGGUUGGCAGAACCAGCUGCGUGGCUGCGUGCAGCUCAGCCUAUGGGGCCAGAUGGUGGCAGCAGCCUAUGGGAGACCCAGCAGCUGGUGGGCAGGUGCACUGAUGCUGAAGUACUAUGAGCUUUCAGAACUUCUGGAGAAACUACAAAGUUCUGAUUGUUAUGGUACCUUUAGCUGGGUUCAUACAUUCGGGAUGGCACAGAAUCAAAAGCAGCCCUGUUUUCCAAAUGCUUAAUAAGGACAAUGUUUCCGCACCAGAUAGUCCAACACUUGAAUGUCCUGAGAAGAAUCACAUCGAAGGGAAAUAGCAGGCUUGGAAUCUUCAGAAAGAAGGAAUUGAGCUUGAUAUUGAAAGAAGAGAUGAAAAACACCAGCUGGAUGAGAAAGAACUAGCUUCUUGUAGCUGGGGUGUCUUUCAUAGGUGUCCAUCUUGGAACAUACUUUGUUAUACAGAGGGCUGCAAAACAAUCUGUAAAAUCUCAACCUAGAGGCAAAUGACAAAGUACUGAAGAACGAAAUAAAAAUAAAUAUUUGGAAUUACUAAUAAAAAAAAAGUCCUUGGCACGGUCUAGCACAGUGUUUCUCAAACUUUAGCACACAUCAGAUUCAUCAGUAGGGUUGUUAAAACACAGAUUCCUGGGUCUGACUCUCAGAGUUUCUGACUUAUUAGGUUUAAGAUGGGCUCUGAGGUUUUGCAUGUCUGACAGGUUCCC
ensembl:lncRNA